CGGCGAUGUCCGAAUGGGGAAACCCAGUGCAAUUCGUUGCACUAUCGUUAACUGAAUACAUAGGUUAACGAGGCGAACCGGGGGAACUGAAACAUCUAAGUACCCCGAGGAAAAGAAAUCAACCGAGAUUCCCCCAGUAGCGGCGAGCGAACGGGGAGCAGCCCAGAGUCUGAAUCAGCUUGUGUGUUAGUGGAACGGUCUGGAAAGUCCGACGGUACAGGGUGAUAGUCCCGUACACCAAAAUGCACAGGCUGUGAACUCGAAGAGUAGGGCGGGACACGUGGUAUCCUGUCUGAAUAUGGGGGGACCAUCCUCCAAGGCUAAAUACUCCUGACUGACCGAUAGUGAACCAGUACCGUGAGGGAAAGGCGAAAAGAACCCCGGCGAGGGGAGUGAAAAAGAACCUGAAACCGUGUACGUACAAGCAGUGGGAGCACCUUCGGGUGUGACUGCGUACCUUUUGUAUAAUGGGUCAGCGACUUAUAUUCUGUAGCAAGGUUAACCGUAUAGGGGAGCCGCAGGGAAACCGAGUCUUAACUGGGCGUUAAGUUGCAGGGUAUAGACCCGAAACCCGGUGAUCUAGCCAUGGGCAGGUUGAAGGUUGGGUAACACUAACUGGAGGACCGAACCGACUAAUGUUGAAAAAUUAGCGGAUGACUUGUGGCUGGGGGUGAAAGGCCAAUCAAACCGGGAGAUAGCUGGUUCUCCCCGAAAGCUAUUUAGGUAGCGCCUCGUGAAUUCAUCUUCGGGGGUAGAGCACUGUUUCGGCUAGGGGGUCAUCCCGACUUACCAACCCGAUGCAAACUACGAAUACCGAAGAAUGUUAUCACGGGAGACACACGGCGGGUGCUAACGUCCGUCGUGAAGAGGGAAACAACCCAGACCGCCAGCUAAGGUCCCAAAGUCAUGGUUAAGUGGGAAACGAUGUGGGAAGGCACAGACAGCCAGGAUGUUGGCUUAGAAGCAGCCAUCAUUUAAAGAAAGCGUAAUAGCUCACUGGUCGAGUCGGCCUGCGCGGAAGAUGUAACGGGGCUAAACCAUGCACCGAAGCUGCGGCAGCGACACUAUGUGUUGUUGGGUAGGGGAGCGUUCUGUAAGCCUGCGAAGGUGACCUGUGAGGGUUGCUGGAGGUAUCAGAAGUGCGAAUGCUGACAUAAGUAACGAUAAAGCGGGUGAAAAGCCCGCUCGCCGGAAGACCAAGGGUUCCUGUCCAACGUUAAUCGGGGCAGGGUGAGUCGACCCCUAAGGCGAGGCCGAAAGGCGUAGUCGAUGGGAAACAGGUUAAUAUUCCUGUACUUGGUGUUACUGCGAAGGGGGGACGGAGAAGGCUAUGUUAGCCGGGCGACGGUUGUCCCGGUUUAAGCAUGUAGGCUGGUUAUCCAGGCAAAUCCGGAUAAUCAAGGCUGAGGUGUGAUGACGAGGCACUACGGUGCUGAAGUAACAAAUGCCCUGCUUCCAGGAAAAGCCUCUAAGCAUCAGGUAACAUUAAAUCGUACCCCAAACCGACACAGGUGGUCAGGUAGAGAAUACCAAGGCGCUUGAGAGAACUCGGGUGAAGGAACUAGGCAAAAUGGUGCCGUAACUUCGGGAGAAGGCACGCUGGUGUGUAGGUGAAGUCCCUGCGGAUGGAGCUGAGACCAGUCGAAGAUACCAGCUGGCUGCAACUGUUUAUUAAAAACACAGCACUGUGCAAACACGAAAGUGGACGUAUACGGUGUGACGCCUGCCCGGUGCCGGAAGGUUAAUUGAUGGGGUUAUCCGUAAGGAGAAGCUCUUGAUCGAAGCCCCGGUAAACGGCGGCCGUAACUAUAACGGUCCUAAGGUAGCGAAAUUCCUUGUCGGGUAAGUUCCGACCUGCACGAAUGGCGUAAUGAUGGCCAGGCUGUCUCCACCCGAGACUCAGUGAAAUUGAACUCGCUGUGAAGAUGCAGUGUACCCGCGGCAAGACGGAAAGACCCCGUGAACCUUUACUAUAGCUUGACACUGAACAUUGAGCCUUGAUGUGUAGGAUAGGUGGGAGGCUUUGAAGCGUGGACGCCAGUCUGCGUGGAGCCAACCUUGAAAUACCACCCUUUAAUGUUUGAUGUUCUAACGUUGGCCCCUUACCGGGGUUGCGGACAGUGUCUGGUGGGUAGUUUGACUGGGGCGGUCUCCUCCCAAAGCGUAACGGAGGAGCACGAAGGUUAGCUAAUCCUGGUCGGACAUCAGGAGGUUAGUGCAAUGGCAUAAGCUAGCUUGACUGCGAGCGUGACGGCGCGAGCAGGUGCGAAAGCAGGUCAUAGUGAUCCGGUGGUUCUGAAUGGAAGGGCCAUCGCUCAACGGAUAAAAGGUACUCCGGGGAUAACAGGCUGAUACCGCCCAAGAGUUCAUAUCGACGGCGGUGUUUGGCACCUCGAUGUCGGCUCAUCACAUCCUGGGGCUGAAGUAGGUCCCAAGGGUAUGGCUGUUCGCCAUUUAAAGUGGUACGCGAGCUGGGUUUAGAACGUCGUGAGACAGUUCGGUCCCUAUCUGCCGUGGGCGCUGGAGAAUUGAGGGGGGCUGCUCCUAGUACGAGAGGACCGGAGUGGACGCAUCACUGGUGUUCGGGUUGUCAUGCCAAUGGCACUGCCCGGUAGCUAAAUGCGGAAGAGAUAAGUGCUGAAAGCAUCUAAGCACGAAACUUGCCCCGAGAUGAGUUCUCCCUGAGACUUUAAGUCUCCUGAAGGAACGUUAAAGACGAUGACGUUGAUAGGCCGGGUGUGUAAGCGCAGCGAUGCGUUGAGCUAACCGGUACUAAUGAACCGUGAGGCUUAACCUU
rnacentral:rRNA from 1 species